CGGAGGGGCUAGCGUUGUUCGGAAUUACUGGGGCGUAAAGCGCACGUAGGCGGAUAGUUAAGUUAGAGGUGAAAGCCCAGGGCUCAACCCUGGAACUGCCUUUAAUACUGGCUGUCUAGAGAUCGAGAGAGGUGAGUGGAAUUCCGAGUGUAGAGGUGAAAUUCGUAGAUAUUCGGAGGAACACCAGUGGCGAAGGCGGCUCACUGGCUCGAUACUGACGCUGAGGUGCGAAAGCGUGGGGGAGCAAACAGGAUU
rnacentral:rRNA from 1 species